UCGCGGCCGGGCGGGGGACGCUUCCACUCCCCCAGGCCACUCCUCUGGGCACCUCGCGCCCGCCCGGCUCGGGGCGCACACAGACCCCCCCCUUUGCCCAUCCGCUUUCUUAGGCCCCUUCCACUCCCCUUUAUCGUCUAAGAGGGACCACACCGAUGACCCAAAGGAGUUUGUUCGGCCAGGAUCUGUCCGGCAGGUGUGCCGGGGCGUCCCACCCCGAGAAGCGAAGGGCAUCCUCACGCUGCGUCCGGGCCGCUGUCCCUCACCUCGGCCCACCCUUCCGCGCUCCGGGUGCGCGCGUGAGGCGGCUCGGAGACCUGCGCCCGGCGCCCAGAGUGUUCCAGUGGAGAAGAUCUUUUCCUAAAGGGCCUCGCCUCGUUCCCUUCACCCUGGACUGUUUCCCCUUCAUCCCAUCAGCGUCCCUUCCAGCCCCUUACUCAGGAGUUCUGCACCCCAGCUGAGCUGCACGUGGGGGAAGAACGAGGGGUCCGCCUUUGCAGACCCCUAAUCUGUGCCCGAGCCUAUUUGUUUCAAUAUUUUUCCUCUUGUCAGCAGCUGUACGUCUCAGCCCACUGGAACGAGAUGCCUACGCUGAUGUCCAGUUUUUCCCCAAAAAAGCUGGGGGCAAAGAGGGCAAGAAAUGCGGAUUUCAUUACAGGGGACUCCGGAGAGAAAGGCCUAGGGAACCUUAGUAAAGGGGGGAACUCCAGAGACCUCUGACAGAUCAGGACCCCAGGCUAAGGAAAAACUGGGACUGGAUCAAUUUUAACCCUCUCUUCUCACCUCUCUCCCCAACUCCCCAGCUCAGAGGAAGCUAACAGGUCUUUUCUUUUGUGUGUGUCGCUUUUGGAAAUUUUGCAUUGGUUAUGACAACAGAAAAUUACUGCUGUUCACUGGAAGUUGGGAUCGCAGGAAGAGAGAACAAUUUUUACGUUUCCUCUUUGUACGUGUUUGGCCAGGAGUGAAGUUGUUAGGUUCAUGGAAUGAACUGCAAAAGGUCCGUUUAGGACAAUAAAGACUGCAGAGCUGCCUGGAUGUAUUUUUAGAAACUGCACUUUCACGAGUUCCUUUCACACAAGGCUUGGUCUCUCAUUAAGUCCCAUAAUUAACUGUAUUUCGAGAGAAGGAAAUAUGGAAGCAGGAGAGGGAUUGCUAAGAUUGCCAUCCCACCAGGGCAGAGCAUGGUUUGCAGGGGGUUCCUGGAAAGUAAGUGUGGGCUGAGAAUUCAGUUUUCCUAAAAGCUCUGUUGGGACCUCUUCUGUCUGAUGUCUAUGAAUAAAGCACACUGGGAAAAUCCUGAUAUCCCUUAAGUCUUAUUUUAUCUUUUACACGGUGGUUGAUUCACGUUCCAAGUCCUCAAACAAACAUCAACUGUGCUGUGUUUUUGUGUGGCUUUUCUAAAUAAAGGAGAAGAGCUUGUGUGUUUAUGCUGCUUUCUGACAUGCGCCCCCUUCACCCGUGGAUAUUGAAGUCACUGAAAUUUACCCAUUUCCUGGUUGAUAAUUUGUACAGACAAUUCCAAAAAUACAAAAAUAUGAAAAAAUUAUGAAUUAGUGUUCCUUUAGGAAACUAACCCCCUCCCCCAAGACACAAGUGCGCACCUCAACUCCUGGUUCUAUAAAGCAAAGUAAAAGCAUAAAUGAUUGCAAUGGGCAGAACUAAGUCAGACACCAGUGUUCCUCUCUGAUCCACUUUCUACCCCUGCAGGAGGAUCCCAGGAGCCAUCACGUUCUCCUGCCUUAAUUUACUAAGAUGCUGAAUUGCCUAACCUACACCAGUGUCUCCAUCUGAGAAAGACAUCAGGAUGUCGCGGGUCUCUGUCCUGUUAAGUUGAGCUGCAGAACUUCCCUGUCAAUUCUCCUAGCCUUCCAGGACUCUGGAGAAGUUCGUAUUUUGCAUGUGGAAGUGCUUUGGAAACCAUGAAGCACUCUGUAGAUGAAAAAGUCUUGCUGUAACAGCCCUGAUCCCCUUGUAUGAAGGUGAAUGUCUCCAGAAAAUACAGUGGCCAUAUACACAGGAAGUAGAUGAAAGUAAAUUAAAAGCCUCCACUCUAUUUCAUGUCUGAAAAUGGGUCAAUGUUCACAUAGCUACAUGUCCUUCCUCAUAGGGGGAUAAUAGCCAGGAAGAAAAUAUUUGAACAUGGAAGACUGAAGCUGCUACAGGACAGUGCUGACUAAACUUUGAUUUGCAUUUGCACCCCUGGAGGAUCUUGUGUCAAGACAGAUUCAGAUUCAAAAGGUUUGGGUUAGGUCCCAAUAUUUUUUUCUAACAAGAUGAUGCCAGGCUGCUGUUCUGUGAAUGCCAAGAGUUUAGAGCCCUUCCUUAGGCAACUCCUGUCCCCUCUGUGCAGUCAGCAAAAGGAGAGCACUUCCUGGUCAGAGGCUUAAAAAAAAAAAAAACAGGAAAUACACAGCAUGUAUUUGGAUGAGACUAGAAACAAAACGAACAAGUUAACGAAGAAAUACGUUCAUCAAAACCUGACAUUAUUACUAACAUUGAGAUGGAAUGGAGUCAAAGGUGGGCUACCCAGGUAUUCAGUGUUUAAGUGCAGCUGCUUUUGAAAUUUAAUUUUAAGUUGUAACAAGAAUCACUGUAUCUAGUUAUAUCCUUCCCUAGAGAGGAAAGUUCAAGUUUCCAUAAAGGAGGAACUAAAGCUCUCAGAAUUACUGAGUUGUACAGUGCUAAUUUAUAUGAAUCUUCACCUUCCUCCAUAAGUUUCUAAUGAUUAUGGUUUCUGGAGAAUAAUAUAUCACUUUUUUAAUGCAUAUUCUUAAUCUACAAAACAAAAAACUUCCAAAAAUUUAAACUAGAAAAACAUUUUAGAAUGUUUUAGAACACUCAGGAUGUUCUGUCAUAGGGAGAGAAUGAAGUGUCAUGUGUGUAUAUGUGUAUGAUUAUUCUGUGUUAUUAUAAACUUCCAGAGCAUAGCAUGCAUUUUCAGAGACGUUGUCUUAGCAUUUAAACUGCAAGGCCCUUUUGUAGAAGCCCUCUUCUUGCUCACCAGCAAGCCCUAUAGAUAGGUAACUCUGGCAAUCUUAUAUGUGAUUUAUUAAUAUGUCAUGUUCUUGACCAAGUAAACCUGAUUUUGCUAAUUACUUAUCAGUUCUUUUACCUUGUAUUUCUUUAAGAGCAGCAUUGCUUGUUUUACCAAAUAUAUAUUGUCCAACUUGCAGAAAAUACUAAUGAUAUUACAGAUAACAAAAUGAGAUUAUGUGUGCAGAUCCCUGCAUCCUGGUGGGCACUAUCUUGUUUAGUAAGUUUUUCCUUCUGCUGUUGCCACUGCCAAACAGACUGCUUAUGAAAUCUUUGGCUUUCUUAACGACUCUUCAGGGAUCACUAAAAUGUUUCUUUUUUCCUGGAUGCCAACUUCAUCUCCUUUUAAGAAUAUAGUAUUAGUUUAAAGGGAUACUCAAUUUAAAGCAAACUUGUAGAUUCAGUCACUCAUGAUUGAUAUUAGGCAAGCAGAAAAAAAAUAGGUUGAUUUUUAUCCUCUACCUUUUAUCCUCCAACUUUUUUAUCUUUGAUGGUGAAGGUGGCUACUUUUUUUAAACCACAGCCUGGUAUGUAUUGUUUGAAAACUUGUUUGAAAGUUGUCUUAACCUAUGUCGUUCUUCUGUUUUUAUCUGUAGAAAUGAGAAAACAUAUAUGUCAGCUACUUGUUUCUUUUAAGUACUCAAAUUAAUAUUUUUCUUGAAAUAAAUAAUAAUUACAGUUUUAAGUUGUCAUAUUAAUAUUUUACAUGAAGUAAGCUCAAUAUGUAUACACAGCAUAGCAGUAAAGACAUCUCAAAUAAUAAGUAAUUCGUGAAACUAAGUUUGAAAUUUAAGCACUGCUAAUAUGUCUACAUAUUUGUAUUUCUUUUCUUGGACUUGGUCUGUUUAAAAUAAUAGUUAUGGCCUAUUGUGUUAUUUGUUAUUCUGUCAUUUAAAAUGUAAAUUAUGCUGUCUUGAAUUAUUUGUGUAAAGCUGAGUUUAUAGGUAAGUUUAUAGUACCAAUAAACAACCAGUGAUUACAUUUUUACUGAGAAAACUCAUUAUUCCUACUUUAAAUGUACCAACAGUCUCUCAACCAUAAGGUUUUUUUGGUACCAGGGAUCGAACUCUGGACCUUGCACUUGUGAGGCAGGUGGCAGAACCACAAUCCCCGCAUAAGUUUAUGCACAUGACAGUGUUGCCUGG
ensembl:lncRNA